ACGGAAGGCAGCAGCUAAGAAUAUUCCGCAAUGGACGAAAGUCUGACGGAGCGACGCCGCGUGGAUGAUGAAGGUCGAAAGAUUGUAAAAUCCUUUUAGGAGUGAAGAAUAAGAGGUGCAGGGAAUGGCAUCACGGUGACGGUAGCUCCUGAAUAAGCAACGGCUAAUUACGUGUCAGCAGCCGCGGUAACACGUAAGUUGCGAGCGUUGUUCGGAAUUAUUGGGCGUAAAGGGUAUGUAGGCGGUCGUGCAAGCUUGGUGUGAAAGGCAGGGGCUCAGCCCCUGGACUGCAUUGAGAACUGCAAGACUUGAAUUGCUGAAGGGCAGCCGGAAUUCCAGGUGUAGGGGUGAAAUCUGUAGAUAUCUGGAAGAACACCAAUGGCGAAGGCAGGCUGCUGGCAGAUGAUUGACGCUGAGGUACGAAAGUGCGGGGAGCAAACAGGAUUAGAUACCCUGGUA
rnacentral:rRNA from 1 species